rnacentral:rRNA from 1 species
ACACAUGCAAGUCGAGCGGAAACGAUCCUAGCUUGCUAGGAGGCGUCGAGCGGCGGACGGGUGAGUAAUGCAUAGGAAUCUGCCCGGUAGUGGGGGAUAACCUGGGGAAACCCAGGCUAAUACCGCAUACGCCCUACGGGGGAAAGCAGGGGAUCUUCGGACCUUGCGCUAUCGGAUGAGCCUAUGUCGGAUUAGCUAGUUGGUGAGGUAACGGCUCACCAAGGCUGCGAUCCGUAGCUGGUCUGAGAGGAUGAUCAGCCACAUCGGGACUGAGACACGGCCCGAACUCCUACGGGAGGCAGCAGUGGGGAAUAUUGGACAAUGGGCGAAAGCCUGAUCCAGCCAUGCCGCGUGUGUGAAGAAGGCCUUCGGGUUGUAAAGCACUUUCAGUGAGGAAGAAAGCCUUGAGGUUAAUACCCUCGAGGGAGGACAUCACUCACAGAAGAAGCACCGGCUAACUCCGUGCCAGCAGCCGCGGUAAUACGGAGGGUGCGAGCGUUAAUCGGAAUUACUGGGCGUAAAGCGCGCGUAGGCGGCUUGAUAAGCCGGUUGUGAAAGCCCCGGGCUCAACCUGGGAACGGCAUCCGGAACUGUCAGGCUAGAGUGCAGGAGAGGAAGGUAGAAUUCCCGGUGUAGCGGUGAAAUGCGUAGAGAUCGGGAGGAAUACCAGUGGCGAAGGCGGCCUUCUGGACUGACACUGACGCUGAGGUGCGAAAGCGUGGGUAGCAAACAGGAUUAGAUACCCUGGUAGUCCACGCCGUAAACGAUGUCGACUAGCCGUUGGGCUCCUUGAGAGCUUU